CGCAGUCACCAUCUCUCCGCCACUCUCGGCAAUCACACAGCAAGCACUGCAUCGUCAAUUCUGACCUCCGCUGUUUAGUACCAGCAACAUCGGAAGGAUUGCGACUGAUCUCUCAGUUUUCAAGGAUCGCAUAUUGCCUCUCAGAGAAAAUCCAGACUCUUCACCCAGGCAAGUGGUCCAGCACUACCUGCCCCUCUAAUUUUGUUUAUUUGAGAGACAGAAAGAGCAUGAGCGAGGGGAGUGGGGCAGAGGGAGAGGGAGAAGCAAACUCCCCGCUGAGCAGGGGCUGAGCAGGGAGCCCACCUUGGAGCUUAACUCCAGGACCCCUAGGAUCACAACCAGAGC